rnacentral:rRNA from 1 species
AAUCAACGCUGGCGGCGUGCCUCAGACAUGCAAGUCGAACGAGAAAGUUCCCUUCGGGGGAUGAGUAAAGUGGCGCACGGGUGAGUAACACGUAGGUAAUCUACCUUCGGGUGGGGAAUAACCCAGGGAAACUUGGGCUAACACCGCAUAAUGCAGCGGCACCACAUGGUGACAGUUGUUAAAGCGGGGGAUUUUAGGACCUCGCGCCUGAAGGGGAGCCUGCGGCGGAUUAGCUAGUUGGUAAGGAACGGCUUACCGAGGCGACGAUCCGUAACCGGCCUGAGAGGGCGGUCGGUCACACUGACACUGACAUACGGGUCAGACUCCUACGGGAGGCAGCAGUCGGGAAUUUUGGGCAAUGGGCGAAAGCCUGACCCAGCAACGCCGCGUGAAGGAUGAAAUCCCUCGGGAUGUAAACUUCGCAAGAUUGGGAAGAAUUAGUA